rnacentral:rRNA from 1 species
UACGAAGGGGGCUAGCGUUGCUCGGAAUCACUGGGCGUAAAGCGCACGUAGGCGGAUUGUUAAGUCAGGGGUGAAAUCCCGGAGCUCAACUCCGGAACUGCCUUUGAUACUGGGUGUCUUGAGUGUGGAAGAGGUGAGUGGAAUUCCGAGUGUAGAGGUGAAAUUCGUAGAUAUUCGGAGGAACACCAGUGGCGAAGGCGGCUCACUGGUCCAUUACUGACGCUGAGGAGCGAAAGCGUGGGGAGCAAACCGG